GACGAACGCUGGCGGCGUGCUUAACACAUGCAAGUCGAACGGUGAAGCACCUUCCUUUUGGUGGGUGUGGAUGAGUGGCGAACGGGUGAGUAACACGUGAGUAACCUGCCCCCUUCUUCUGGAUAACCGCAUGAAAGUGUGGCUAAUACGGGAUAUUCUGGGUCUGUCGCAUGGCGGGCCUGGGAAAGAUAUUGUUUCGGUGGGGGAUGGGCUCGCGGUCUAUCAGCUUGUUGGUGGGGUGAUGGCCUACCAAGGCGGUGACGGGUAGCCGGCCUGAGAGGGUGGACGGUCACACGGGGACUGAGACACGGCCCAGACUCCUACGGGAGGCAGCAGGGGGGAAUAUUGCACAAUGGGCGCAAGCCUGAUGCAGCGACGCCGCGUGAGGGAUGGAGGCCUUCGGGUUGUAAACCUCUUUCGCCAGUGAAGCAGGCCUGUCCCUUUUGUGGGUGGGUUGACGGUAGCUGGAUAAGAAGCGCCGGCUAACUACGUG
rnacentral:rRNA from 1 species